GAUGAAGAACGCAGUGAAAUGCGAUAAGUAAUGCGAAUUGCAGAAUUUCCGUGAGUCAUCGAAUCUUUGAACGCACAUUGCGCCCUGUGGUAUUCCGCAGGGCAUGCCUGUUCGAGCGUCAUUUCAACCCUCAAGCUCUGCUUGGUGUUGGGCCCUGCCCGCUGCGGCCGGCCCUAAAGACAGUGGCGGUGCCGCCUGGCCCUGAGCGUAGUACAUCUCUCGCUCCAGUGCCCGGUGGUAGCCUGCCAGAACCCCAACUCUCGUGGUUGACCUCGGAUCAGGUAGGGAUACCCGCUGAACUUAAGCAUAUCAAUAAGCGGAGGA
rnacentral:misc_RNA from 1 species